rnacentral:rRNA from 1 species
GACGAACGCUGGCGGCGUGCUUAACACAUGCAAGUCGAACGGUGAAGCUCCAGCUUGCUGGAGUGUAUCCGUGGCGAACGGGUGAGUAACCCGUGAGCAACCUGCCCCUUACUCUGUAAUAAGCGCUGGAAACGGCUUCUACUACUGGAUACGAGAAGGGUCCGCAUGGGCACUUUCUGGCCUGUUUUUCGGUUGGGGAUGGGCUCGCGGCCUAUCAGCUUGUUGGUUAGGUAAUGGCUCACCAAGGCGACGACGGGUGGCCGGCCUGAGAGGGCGACCGGCCACACUGGGACUGAGACACGGCCCAGACUCCUACGGGAGGCAGCAGUGGGGAAUAUUGCACAAUGGGCGAAAGCCUGAUGCAGCGACGCCGCGUGAGGGAUGAAGGCCUUCGGGGUGUAAACCGCUUUCAGCAGGGAAGAAGCGAAAGUGACGGUACCUGCAGAAGAAGCACCGGCUAACUACGUG